UGUACGUUUCUUAUUCUUCAACGGGACGAAACCCAGAACCUCAAAUCGACCCAGAAUCGUGACCCGAGCCCUCUCUCGUAUCGUCCUUUCAAAGAACAUGUUCCUUUCAGGGAAUUCAAAUUUGAAAUUUGAAAUUCAAUCUGUUUCCCUCCAAAUAAACUCAUAUCUUCUUCUUCUAAUUAAAGUCCUCAAUCUCUCCAUUCUAAGGGGAGAGGUUUUGAUAUGAAGUUUGGAAAAGUUUGAAACAAAGUUGGAAAAAUUGAAGGGAUACAGUGAGAAAGAACGAAAGAAAGAGUUGUUACUUUACGUUAAGGCGAUAGUAUUCGGAGAUCUUUUUUUUUUUGAUUUGUUCACUUAGGUUAUCCAAGUUUUCUGUUGAAAUCCCUCUCUUGUGUGGUUGGAAGAAGUCUCAUCCUGCUCGUUAGUUGUCUCAGCUCGCUGCCCUCGAAAAGGAUUCAUCAGUAUUGGCAUAGUUCGGUGGCCUGACAUGCGUUUGCCAUCCUUUAUACUUUAUCCUAGAGGGAAGCACUUACUGUUCGGGCAUUACUUGGGCCCGCCUUGAUCUUAGCAAGUAAAAAAUGUUGUUUCUUUUUUUUUUGAAUGCAUCUUAUUUUGCUUAUUGCUCGAAGCUCACUAGGUAUUUAUGCUUGGUUACAAUUUCAUUUAUUUAUUUUCAAAUAUAAAUAAAGCUUUGACAUUUUCUAUUUCCACAUAGUAUAAGUAAUUCUGUUUGAACGUUGGAAGUUUAUAUUUGACUUUUUCCAGGGUUAUAUUUUGUGUUUUAGAUAUUUCGCUUGUUAUUAUAAUAAUUUAAGAUUCAGUAUAGCACCUGCUGAUAGUAAACAACUCUCUCUUCUUUUGUGUAUUAUGUCUUUGGUCAGAAAGAGAAAUUUCAGAUGUUUACAAGGAAGAAAGACUAUGUGCAGUCUUAUUUUUCAUUGCUAAGAAGAAAACAUAAUAUUCUUGCUACUGUAUUUCUAGGAAUAUCACAGCUAAUUGACUAUAACCUUCUAAGAAGUUGUUCUUGAUAAUUUUGAGAAGACAUGCAUGGGAUAUAUAUGGAUUUGUCCCAACACUAGCACAUUUCCUCACUCCUUGACAAAGACUUAACUGUUUCUUUUAGUUUUCUCCGGGGCUUGCAGAAAAAUACUAAUUGUUCUUCAUCCUUUCAAUAAAUUUACAAUUCCAGUUAUGCUCCUCUUUAACUUUAACUAAAUUUUCUGUUUCUUUUCCCUUUCAUCUUCUUUUUUGUUUUUCAAGUUCUCUUCAAAUUUUAGUCAUUAUCCGGAUAUUUCUGCUGAAGCGUUGGUGCACUAGAUAGGCUUUUGGAAAUCAGAUUGAUUGAAAAAUAAAAAACCAUUAAACAGACCUAUAAGUUUUCUAGCUGAAUCUUUAUUUUUUUUAAGGGCGUUUCAAAAGAAGUUAUAUAUAGAUUUUUAUUGUAGCUUUUAGUCACGUCUUCGAAUUUUAAUGUGAAAAAGACUUCUUUCUCUGAAUAGGUACAUUCCUUUGCUAAUUAGAUUGCUAAGACUCUUCCUUUGAACUUCUUUUAAGGCAGAUAUCUUAUUGUGAUAAAGAAGUCGUGACUCUUGGUUGAACUGUUUUUUUGGAGGUAAGAUACUGAUAAAUUUAAUUGAAUCUGCUACGUCACAGAUCUCAAUCAUUGUUGAUGGGUUGUUGGAUGCCUUUCUGCUUGAGGUUGUAGUUUAUGGAGUCUUGAACACUGCUUUUUAUAAAUCAGUAUAGCAAUUUAGUUUGUGUUAUUCAUCGUAGAAUAUUAUUUAUUAUGUUCAAAUAUAUAAUAGAAGUUUGGAAGCAUACGGGUCAAUAUAUGGAAAUAUGUCCUUAAACUAACUCUUCAAAAGGUGAACGUUGAGAUUCAAGGUGGGUCGUCUUUCUUUGCUUUAAAUAUGAAUGUAAGUUUUUGUUCAAAGAAAUUGCUUUCUCUUAGACUUACUUAUAUUUCUAUUUCUUUUUAAAAAAAUAUUUAUUUCCAUUAAAUUUAUUUGAAGUUGAAGUAUCCUUUGGUGUAAAGUAUAAAUAUUUCUGUAUGGAUAUAAGAUUUUGUGUUGUUUUUGUUAUUCAUCAUCCUUUUUUCCUACGUGCUCGCUUUUUAUCCGGCAGUCAAAGAAGUGUUGUGAUAUUUAUUAAAAUGAUGAGGUUUGGUGCUGCUGCUCUUUCAAUAUUAGUGGAUGUUGUGUUGCUGCAACUGCUGCUUCUCCAGGAAGAAUUAAACUAAAGGUACUUGUUCUUUUUCAUCUGAUCAUGAGUUUGUGUUCAUUGUAUAUGUUUAAGGCCUUCAUUUAUAUGUUAAUAAUUCAUUAGCAUUUUUAUUUAUUCUCAUAAAGAUAUUGGAUGUUUUAUAUGUUUCAUGUUAAGUCUUCAUAUGGUUGGAACUUUUACUUCCUUUGCA